rnacentral:rRNA from 1 species
AGUGAACGCUGGCGUUAGGCCUAACACAUGCAAGUCGAACGGCAGCACAGUAAUAGCUUGCUCUUACGGGUGGCGAGUGGCGGACGGGUGAGGAAUACAUCGGAAUCUACUUUUUCGUGGGGGAUAACGUAGGGAAACUUACGCUAAUACCGCAUACGACCUACGGGUGAAAGCAGGGGAUCUUCGGCCCUUGCGCGAUUGAAUGAGCCGAUGUCGGAUUAGCUAGUUGGCGGGGUAAAGGCCCACCAAGGCGACGCUCCGGAGCUGGUCUGUGAGGAUGAUCAGCCACACUGGAACUGAGACACGGUCCAGACUCCUACGGGAGGCAGCAGUGGGGAAUAUUGGACAAUGGGCGCAAGCCUGAUCCAGCCAUACCGCGUGGGUGAAGAAGGCCUUCGGGUUGUAAAGCCCUUUUGUUGGGAAAGAAAAGCAGCAGGUUAAUACCCCGCUGUUCUGACGGUACCCAAAGAAUAAGCACCGGCUAACUUCGUG